UGAGGAAUAUUGGUCAAUGGGCGAGAGCCUGAACCAGCCAAGUAGCGUGCAGGACGACGGCCCUAUGGGUUGUAAACUGCUUUUAUAAGGGAAUAAAGUGGGUCACGUGUGACUUUUUGCAUGUACCUUAUGAAUAAGGACCGGCUAAUUCCGUGCCAGCAGCCGCGGUAAUACGGAAGGUCCGGGCGUUAUCCGGAUUUAUUGGGUUUAAAGGGAGCGUAGGCCGGAGAUUAAGCGUGUUGUGAAAUGUAGUGGCUCAACCUCUGCACUGCAGCGCGAACUGUGAGACUUGAGUGUAUUCGAUGUCAGCGGAAUUUGUGGUGUAGCGGUGAAAUGCUUAGAUAUCACGAAGAACUCCGAUUGCGAAGGCAGCUGACAAGGCUACAACUGACGCUAAAGCUCGAAAGUGCGGGUAUCGAACAGGAUUAGAUACCCUGGUAGU
rnacentral:rRNA from 1 species